rnacentral:lncRNA from 1 species
CCAUUCACCAUACGCCAGAUAGAAGCUGAUAGCUUUGUGCAUUGCGGACAAACCAAUCAAGGUACCUGGCCUCCCAUUUAACGCAUAGUCAUGCAUGGGACACAUACGGAGGGAAGGCGGCGAGAGAAGAAAAAGGCCACAGGGAGGGCAUACAAAGAGGGACCAAAGCUAGUAAAUUAAAAAAGUCAUGGAAUGGAACUACUCUCGCAUUUUGUACAUACAGGUUGUCCGGUGCUUUCCUCAUGCUCCCAGCUGCUCUGAAACCCUCAGCACCAAAGCAGGGGUGAUCUCUGAUGCACUUGGGUGGAGAUGGGCCUGCGGGCGGGCCCCUACCUGCGCCACACGGCCUGGCAGGACCGCAGCAGCGCCUCUAGCGAUGCCACCCGCUGAUGAUCAACGAACGGCCAUAGCGUUCGGAACCCCCUCGUUACCUACCCUGUUCCUUUAGUUGUUACUCGUAUGUCAAACCCCUGAAGCCCGC